rnacentral:rRNA from 1 species
UACGUAGGGGGCAAGCGUUGUCCGGAAUCAUUGGGCGUAAAGCGCGUGUAGGCGGCCCGAUAAGUCCGCUGUGAAAGUCCAGGGCUCAACCCUGGGAUGCCGGUGGAUACUGCCGGGCUAGAGUCCGGAAGAGGCGAGUGGAACUCCUGGUGUAGCGGUGGAAUGCGCAGAUAUCAGGAAGAACACCAACGGCGAAGGCAGCUCGCUGGGACGGUACUGACGCUGAGACGCGAAAGCGUGGGGAGCGAACAGG